AACGCGAAGAACCUUACCUGGGUUUGACAUCUCUGGACAACCGUAGAGAUACGGCUUCGGUAGCAAUACCGCCAGAAGACAGGUGCUGCAUGGCUGUCGUCAGCUCGUGUGGUGACAUGUUGGGUUAAGUCCCGCAACGAGCGCAACCCCUGUCCUUAGUUGCCAGCAUUCAGUUGGGCACUCUAGGGAGACUGCCGUGGUGAACACGGAGGAAGGUGGGGAUGACGUCAAGUCCUCAUGGCCUUUAUAUCCAGGGCGACACACGUGAUACAAUGGACGGUACAGAGGGUAGCGAAGGAGCGAUCUGAAGCUAAUCCCAAAAAGCCGUUCUCAGUUCGGAUUGGAGUCUGCAACCCGACUCCAUGAAGUUGGAAUCGCUAGUAAUCGCGGAUCAGCACGCCGCGGUGAAUACGUUCCCGGGCCUUGUACACACCGGCUAC
rnacentral:rRNA from 1 species